rnacentral:tRNA from 1 species
CAGGAAAUAGUUUAGUUUAGAAUUCUGGCUUUGGGAGCCAGAGGUGAGAGUUAAAAUCUCUCUUUUCUGG